UCCCUGGUGUCUUAGUGGGUUAAGGAUCUGGCAAUGUCACUGCUGUGGCACGGGUUCGAUCCCUGGCCUGGGAA
rnacentral:tRNA from 1 species